AUAGCCGGCACCAUAGCAUUAUUAUUGUCGAAAUUUUAGUUUGUUGGUAUAUAAUAUAAUAUAUAUUAUAUUAAUAUAAAUAUAAUAUUGCAUUAUCGAAUUUUGUUUUAAAUAUUCUCAAAUAGAUACGGAAUAUUAUAAAGUAUCUAUUUUGUUCACUAAUUUAAGUUGUUAAGUUCAAUUUCGGUUACAAUAAUGGAAUGUCAACAAGUGUUGCCCAUUCUCUUGAGGUUAGCAUUCAAAAGUGACAGUGAAAAUCAACAUUUGUUAAUUGUUCAAUAUGAACGCAGAACGUUGUGAAGAGACGGAAAAAUUGUCAUUAUCAUCACAAAUCCCUGAUGAAUCUAAAAUGGAUAAUGAUCCCAACAAAUUGAAUGUUGAUCAAAAUAAUGAAAACGAAAAUGGUAUGCUUGAAAAAACAAAAACCAAUCUAAGUCCAUCAGUCGUCGAGACUCAAGUUUGCCAUCCUGAUUCAACUGAUCAAAAACUACAGGAAAAAAAACUACCAUUUUAUCAAGUACUAAACGUUCACAGCGAUAUCCUUCUAGACAACAAUAAUUCAUAACAAAAAAAAAAAUUUAUAUCAAAUAGUUAAUAAAAUGAACAGUAAUAUGAAUACCGACCGUAAUAUAAAUGGUCAAAAACAACAGAAAAAUCAAUCAAAGAAACUUAUAGAGUUAUAACCUCAAUCACUCCAAAAAAAGUUUCACUUCCCUCGCGCGUACUCGCAACACGCAUAAUUUUUUUUUGUGUUGUUAAUUUGUGGUUCGUCUUCAGAAUAUAGUUUUCUAUUAUUCCAUGAUUGUAGCAUACAUUUUUGAUGACGAUUAGCCAGUGUAUGUGCUACGUCUUUGAAAUUUUUCAACUGGUAUACGAAACUUUUUAAAAAUCCAUUUUUACUUUCGUAUUUCAUGGUCCAAUGAAUUCUUGGUGGUCCCAUUUUAUUUAUAAUCAUUGGAAGAUGUGUUAUCAAAUGAUCUUUCAUUAUCAAUGAUGAAUUAAAUUCAUUAAUAAUAAGACUAUGAUGGUCUUUAAUUAAAACUGUUAGUCUAUCUAACAUAUCAUAGCUUAUUGUUGGAGCAAAUACAAUUUUCAUAAUUUCUAUUAACAAUAAAAUAACUCUCCAUUUUUUUGUAUCCUCAUGAUUCAAUUUCAUUAUUUCAUCAGUUAAAAGAAGUGGUAAAUAAGCUAUCAAAUAAAACAUUUGAGCACCACGCUGACCUACUAAAUUUACGUUUUUAUUUAAAUCUAUUGGACAUGAAUGGUUAGAUCUAUUAUGUAAGCCAUAAUCAAAAGUUGAUAUUUUAUUAUUUAAAUUUGACAGAUCGACAAUACCUAUCUUGAUCAAAUCUAAAAAGAUCUAAAAAGUCAUGGAAUAUAUCAACAAUUGAACUAUCAACAAAAUCAUAAAAUUGUAAUACCCAAAGAUUUUUUUUUUUUUAUACUAUAAAAAUUAAAUGUAUCAUUAUUACAAUAUCUAGCUGAUGAUAUAAUGAGAUAAAUUCUGAUUUAGUUCGCAACAGACUUUCAUUUAAUGAAACACUUUUUCUAGCUGAAUUUAUAGUUAUUUUACAAAUUCUACGAGAAUACGUGGCUACGAAAGAUUCAUUCAUACAAAUUAUUUUUGCUCUUCCCAAAUUAUCAAAACUUACAGAUAUUAUAAACUACCUUUGACAAAAGAAUUAAGUCCUCUAUGAAUAUACCAUCUGUUUCGAAAUUUUUUGAAUCAUUAACUAUUAUUUUAAAACUAGCAAGUAAACGAAUAUUGUCUAAUUUUGAAAGCAUAUGUUAAGGUAAAUUUAAAAUGGAAAAAUAAAAAGCACCAAUUUUGUGUAUACGAGCUUUCGGACUCAAAGGGUUGCAAACCUCAAACUCGUCAUAAUAAAUUUGUAGAUGAAUUGAAAUUUUAUUUAUUUGAAAAAAUGUAUUAUUUUUAAAUACACUACCAUCUUUGUAACUUUUGUAUACGUUUUGUACUUAAUAAUUAUUAUCAGCAAAUUUUUUAGUCAAACAUUGUUGAUGAAAUUUAUCUUGAAAUAAAACCACAUCUCUGGGUUAUUUUUUUAUGUUUUAAAAGUUCACUUGCCACAAUAUUGACAAUAACUUUUCUACAUUUUUUUGUUAAAUAUCCUAAAUCAUUGUAUGAUUCAAACAUUUCAUCUCCAUAUU
rnacentral:lncRNA from 1 species